CAGUCGCCGCGGUAAUACGGAGGGGGCUAGCGUUGUUCGGAAUUACUGGGCGUAAAGCGCACGUAGGCGGACUGGAAAGUCAGAGGUGAAAUCCCAGGGCUCAACCUUGGAACUGCCUUUGAAACUAUCAGUCUGGAGUUCGAGAGAGGUGAGUGGAAUUCCGAGUGUAGAGGUGAAAUUCGUAGAUAUUCGGAGGAACACCAGUGGCGAAGGCGGCUCACUGGCUCGAUACUGACGCUGAGGUGCGAAAGCGUGGGGAGCAAACAGGAUUAGAUACCCCGGUAGUCCCUGUCUCUUAUAC
rnacentral:rRNA from 1 species